ACCGCUACGCCCAUUCCUCCUUACUAGACCGCCCUCACAGUAACGCCCCUUUGGCUGUUCAAGUUUCUGAAGUCAGUGACAUGCUGCCGAAUGACAACACAAGCGCCGCGCGGGACUUAUUAAAACGACUGGAUGGAUUUCGCUGCAGCGAUCACUCAACUGUCGGUAAGAUUUCGAAUAAAAUGCAUGAAUAUACAUAACGGUUACUUUACGAGUUGACUUAGUCGGAGUGCGAACAGAAAGUCGGAGGUGUCAUAUUUGUUCAACCUGGUGUUAAACGUAAUUUCAAUUCUUGACCAGUGCAUGUAAAGAAAUUGUAAAUAAAACCGACUUGAUGUAGUAGUGCUAAAAAUAAACCUUUAUAUUUUCUCUUAGUGAACUUCUCAAAAUAUAUGGGCUAAUGUAGAUACCACUUGGGAUGGGUUUAUCGUUACCUAUUGUUUCUGAUGGGGCGUUAAUUGGUGUGGCACCCGGAACUCUUCCUCACUUCGGGAAGAUUGGCAAGGGAUAUAAGAAGUUGGGGUUGGGGUUGAUGAUCCACAUGAUGGUGAUGGACCAGGACAGCUCUGGACCUCCUGACUGGCAGCUCCAUCCUCAACCUCCCUUCCUGUUCUUCACACAUGUGCAGGCAGAGGCAGUUUUCUGAAGGAUGGUUAAUGUCAGUACCAACAUGUUGUGAUGGAGGCUUCCACCUGAGCUGAACACAGAAACUUGCACACAGUGAUGGAAGCAGUCGUUCCUGUUCAGCAUUGAUAUGCCGGUAAUGGGUUUGAUGAGCCACAGCAUGGUGAUGGGCAAUCAGCAUCAGGACCAGGGCCGCUCACAAGGAGAACCUCCUGCCCUGCCUCUUCAUCCUCAACCUCCAAUCUUCCUGCUCUUCACACAUGUGCAGGUGAGGACAACCUCUAAAAUGCACACUUGACUUGAGGCAAAGGGGGGAGAAUAGGCGUGCAUGCAUGCACGUGCACCAAACUUUAAGACAGUAGCAGUGUGUGGGGGGGCAUGUGCACAAGCAUAUGCACGUGCUCAUGUCAUGUCCUUCUGUAGGUAGAUAGGGGGUGGUUGUUUUUGUCUUAAUUGUCAUUCAUAACAUUAACAUGCCUUUU